rnacentral:rRNA from 1 species
AGAUUUUGUGACUGAGUGGCGGACGGGUGAGUAACGCGUGGGUAACCUGCCUCAUACAGGGGGAUAACAGUUGGAAACGGCUGCUAAUACCGCAUAAGCGCACAGUACCGCAUGGUACCGUGUGAAAAACUCCGGUGGUAUGAGAUGGACCCGCGUCUGAUUAGCUAGUUGGUGGGGUAACGGCCUACCAAGGCGACGAUCAGUAGCCGACCUGAGAGGGUGACCGGCCACAUUGGGACUGAGACACGGCCCAAACUCCUACGGGAGGCAGCAGUGGGGAAUAUUGCACAAUGGGGGAAACCCUGAUGCAGCGACGCCGCGUGAGCGAUGAAGUAUUUCGGUAUGUAAAGCUCUAUCAGCAGGGAAGAAAAUGACGGUACCUGACUAAGAAGCCCCGGCUAACUACGUGCCAGCAGCCGCGGUAAUACGUAGGGGGCAAGCGUUAUCCGGAUUUACUGGGUGUAAAGGGAGCGUAGACGGCAUGGCAAGCCAGAUGUGAAAGCCCGGGGCUCAACCCCGGGACUGCAUUUGGAACUGUCAGGCUAGAGUGUCGGAGAGGAAAGCGGAAUUCCUAGUGUAGCGGUGAAAUGCGUAGAUAUUAGGAGGAACACCAGUGGCGAAGGCGGCUUACUGGACGAUUACUGACGCUGAGGCUCGAAAGCGUGGGGAGCAAACAGGAUUAGAUACCCUGGUAGUCCACGCCGUAAACGAUGA